GAUGAACGCUGGCGGCGUGCCUAAUACAUGCAAGUCGAGCGAACAGACGAGGAGCUUGCUCCUCUGACGUUAGCGGCGGACGGGUGAGUAACACGUGGAUAACCUACCUAUAAGACUGGGAUAACUUCGGGAAACCGGAGCUAAUACCGGAUAAUAUAUUGAACCGCAUGGUUCAAUAGUGAAAGACGGUUUUGCUGUCACUUAUAGAUGGAUCCGCGCCGCAUUAGCUAGUUGGUAAGGUAACGGCUUACCAAGGCGACGAUGCGUAGCCGACCUGAGAGGCGGAUCGGCCACACUGGAACUGAGACACGGUCCAGACUCCUACGGGAGGCAGCAGUAGGGAAUCUUCCGCAAUGGGCGAAAGCCUGACGGGGCAACGCCGCGUGAGUGAUGAAGGUCUUCGGAUCGUAAAACUCUGUUAUUAGGGAAGAACAAAUGUGUAAGUAACUAUGCACGUCUUGACGGUACCUAAUCAGAAAGCCACGGCUAACUACGUG
rnacentral:rRNA from 1 species